GGCUAUUGUUGAUGUGAUUAAACUUUUGUGGUCAUCAACAAACUUGUUUCACGUGAACUGUGGAUUAUGAAGCUUUAUCAUUCAAUCUAGUUAACUUCUCAAAACUUGAGUUUGAUCUUGCAGAGUACUCUGCUACAAGUUGUGCAAAUGAGGAUGACUUGUUUUCCAAUAAUCUAGUUGGAUUGUCAUAUUCUUCAAUAAGCCCAUGACUCAGAAGCAGAACCAUGUCG
rnacentral:misc_RNA from 1 species